AAUAGUACGUGAAACUGCUUAGAGGUUAAACCCGAUGAACCUGAAUAUCCAUGUUAAGAAUUCAUCAUUAAAAUAAUAAUUUUUAUUAUUAUUAUGGUGUGCAUUUUCUUAACAUAAAAUGGACAUUGUAAUCUAUUAAUAUUGAAUUAAUUUAUCAUAAGAUCAAUAGUAUAUGUUUAUUUUAAAUAAUUUACCAUAUGGUUUAUUAAUAUUAAAUAAUUUCUAUUGAUUUGAUAAAGUAUUAAUAGAUUUAAUCAUAUGUAUAAUGCAUAAAUAUCAUUUAUAUGAGAUUUUAUAAUAUAUAUUAUAUAUAUAUUAUUAGCAUUUAUACGAUUUACAAUGCGAAAGAUUCAGGAUACCUUCGGGACCCGUCUUGAAACACGGACCAAGGAGUCUAACAUAUGUGCAAGUUUUUGGGAUUUUUAAUUAAAACCCAAAAGCAUAAUUAACAUAACUAUAUUAUAAUGGGAUUAGUUUUUAAUUUAUAUAUUUAAAUUAUUAAUUCAAUCCCAGGGCGUUCUAUACAGUUAUGUAUAAUAAUAUUUAUAUUAUUUAUACCUCUAACUAGAGCGUACCUUGAGCAUAUAUGCUGUGACCCGAAAGAUGGUGAACUAUACUUGAUCAGGUUGAAGUCAGGGGAAACCCUGAUGGAAGACCGAAACAGUUCUGACGUGCAAAUCGAUUGUCAGAAUUGAGUAUAGGGGCGAAAGACCAAUCGAACCAUCUAGUA
rnacentral:rRNA from 1 species